AGCAUUCAACAAUGAACCGUACGUGCAAAGAUAUGGUAUACAAAUUUCAAGACAAUUAUAAAUCAGCAUUUGGACAAAGUAAGCGUAUUAACUAUGUCAAAAAUUCCACCAACAUGUGAACCCCACAAGAAUAAAGCCACAAAAUAACAAGAAGACAAAAUAACAUGAUAUGCUUUGAAGAUAAAAUUUCAGCAAAAGAAGACAAACAUGCAGUGAAGGCUAUGUAAGUAGUUUCAGCUAACGUGUCAUUUAUUCUAAGCCACGUACAAUUAUCAUCAGUUAUUUUUAGUAGGUAGUAGUUACAUGUAAAAUGAAUAAUGUGUAUUAGUGUAUGCACACAUGUCAUAUAGAGGACAUAAAAAGUUAGAUUAAUCAACUCUUUUGAUGCCUAUUUAAGGCAUUGAACUUGUACUAAUAAGAGGCAUUCAAAAUCCCUCUACAAUUCUCUCCAUUUUUCCUUCUCCAAUCUAUUUUUUCUCUUUCCCUAAAUCAAUAGAAAGUUCUAUUUUAAGCAUUCUCUCUACUGUUUUAUUUAUUUGAUUUCAUGUUUUUUUAAUUUUAAUUUUACUAUUACUUUUGUUAUUCUCUUUUCUUUAAACUUUCUUAAUAUUUUGUUUUAAGCUUUGUUUGUUCUUGCUCCCUUCUGUUACUCUGCCCAAUUUCACUUAGGAUUUCGUGUUGAAACUUGGUCCUUCCCCUUAAUUGGUAUCAGAGCCAAGUUGUCCGAGAAGGGUAUGAGCAGGAGCGGAUAAGUCCAUACGUUGUCAUUGGGCGGAUGGCGUCGAAACUUAAGUUGCAGUGGGGAUGGGGUAGCCAAAUAAUUCUCGAUUUAGACGUUGGUGAGCACAUACUUUUCGUUGGAUUAGCGUAGAUUGUGUGUGUCGUAAAGCUGGAUCCGGAGGGAGUUACCGUCACCAAGCCUAUAGGAAUAAUAUCAACGAAAAAUAGUGAAAAGGUGCAGGCACAAGUGGAUGUUAGAACUUACAGUACGACGUUGCUGCUAUACGGACGUGGAGCUUUCAUCUGGACUUGGUAGGCCCUCAUGCUUUUGAGGCUGUCUACUGUUAUUAUCUAUCUUAGAUGUAGGCUUUAUCUAGUGGAGCAUGUUCACUAGUGUUUUAUUUCCCAUUUCAUUUCAUACUUUGUAUUGGUUCCUUUUUUGGCAAGUAUACAUUUAAUGCAGCUACGAACUAGUUCUUUCAUUUGAUGAUCCUAAUGUUAGAUGAAUGAUGGUGAACCAUUAUACAUGUAAUGAAAUGUUUAGUAAUCAUGUUAGGAAACAAAAAGUUUCAAAUUUUCUGGAAAAAUUAACCUAGACGAACUAAGAAUGACGUAAGUAGGCUUGUCUGCGACCUCUGAGAGGUCAACAUUGCCGGUCAUGUCUAGGGUCUAGACUAAGGUCGUGAAAAAGUUGGAAUCAGAGCCCUAGGUUAAAUUCCAAAUAUGGUAAGUUCACAUCAACCACAUUAAGUAGUUUCUAAUUCAUAAUAGAGAAGUGCACCACUAUCCUUAAUCAUAGACUACAUGAUUGGUGGGAAUAUCUCCCUUUUUCUUAUCUUAUCGCGCCUUUCCUAAUGUCUGGUUUCUUGUGUUAUGCGCGUGUCUAACAUCAGCUCCUGGUGUUUACAUAGAAUGAACACUAGAAGAACUAUUGGUCAGAGGAGAGGAUAGUAGUUGCUGGGAACAAUCAGGUUCCACCCUAGGUUCCAACUGAAAGACUGGCUAUGCCAGUUAACCCAACUGCAUUGACUAAUGCGUAGGUGUGGGCAUUUCAGGGUUAGAUGGCACAGGCCAUCACUAUGCAUGCUCAAGACAUGACUGCCCAGGUCAACCGGCAGAAUGUUGAGAGGGAGAACCCACCUGUGCGUAGCAUGGCUGACAGGCUAAGAGACUUCACGAGGAUGAACCAUUCUAUUUUCACAAGGUCUAAGAGUACAGAGGAUCCCUAGGAAUUUGUAGAUAAGGUGCAUAAGAUUUUUGUGGCCAUAUGUGCCACAGAUACUGAGAAAGCAGAGUUGUUUAAGACAACCUUCCAGGAGAGAUUUUUCCCUAGGGAGAUAACGGAGCCCAAGGUUGAGUUGUUUAUCAACCUUAAACAGGGAUUGAUGACAGUCAGGGAGUAUUCCCUGAUGUUUGUGAAAUUAUCCUGGUAUGCCACAUCUCUUCUGUCUAACAGUUGAGACGAAAUGAGUAGAUUCUUAACAUAAAUUGUUAAGGAUCUCGAGGAGGAGUGUAGGGCAGGUAUGCUGCAUGAUAGCAUGGACCUUUCCAGGCUUAUGGUCCAUGUCCAGCAAAUGGAGUAAAGAAGAAAGAGGAAACACACUUGGGCAGGGUACAAGUCAAGGCAAGCAGAGGAAAAUUUUGAAGGAAGAGUAGUACUGAAAUAAGGGAUAAGCCCAAUUUUAAGAAGGGACUCCUCAACCAAGGGGAGUCAAGUUCAUCCAAGAGUCACCAUGAUGGGAGUUCCGAGUCUAUAGUUAACAGAAACAAUGAAGUAGAUACACCUCAAGUGAGACCACCUUGAAGAAAGUGUGGCAAACUACAUCGAGGAGAGUGUAUGAUGAACAAUGCUUGUUAUAGUUGUGGCAAACUGAGUCACGUGGUGAAGGAUUGUUCGAUUAGUAGAAGUCAAGAACAAAGGAAGGAUAGAAUUCAGUCCAAUGGUCCAAGUGAAGAGGAUCCAAGGAGGCAACGAUUCUUCGCACUCAAGUCUAAGGGUGCAGGGGAAGGCACUUCUGCUGAAGUCUCGGGUGAGUAGCCUUAAUUAGUCCUUCAUAUAUUUGAUUGUGUAUGGUGUUUAUGCACUAGUAUGAGUUUAAUAUAUUUGAGUCAUCAUGUUUGUUGCUGAUUUAUAUGACUGAUAUGUUAAUUUAUAUUUUAUGCUUUGAUAAGACUAGUUUAGGAAAGAGUUGCUUCGUCUAUUAAUGUGAAUCUACUUGUAGGUUUCAAGGAUGUUCACCAUCAUCUUAUAUGUGAAUCAGGUGCAGGCGUAGGUGGACUUUAGAUCUUACAAUACGAUGUUGCAGCUAUCCAAACGUGGAGCUUUCAUCCGAACUUGGUAGUCCCUCAUGCUUUCGAGGCUGUCUAAUGUUAUUAUCUAGAUUAUAUGUAGGCUUUAGCUAGUGGAGCAUGUACCACUAGUGUUUCAUUUCCCAUUUCAUUUCAUACUUUGUAUUGGUGCACUUUUUGGCAAGUAUACAUUUAAUGCAGCGACAAACUAUUUCAUUCAUUUGAUGAUCUUAAUCUUAGAUAGUUUAUGGUGAAUCAUUAUACAUGUAAUAGAAUAUUUACUAAGCAUGUUAGGAAAGGAAAAGUUUCAAUUUUUCCACAAAAAUUAACCUAGACGAACUAUGAAUAACGCAAGUACACUUGUCUGCGACCUCUAAGAUGUCAACGACGCCGUUCUCUUCUACGGACUAGACUCUGGUCGUGGCAAUGUUUGUAUCAGAGCCCUAGGUUAAAUUCUGAAGAUAAUAAGUUCACAUCAACCACAUUGAUUAGUUUCUAAGUCAUGGUAGUGAAGUGCACCACUAUCCUAAAUUGGAGACUACAUUAUGCGUACAAAUAUCUCCCUUCUUCUGAUCUUAUUGUGCCUUUUCUAAUGUAUGAUUUAUUGGUGUUAUGAGUGUGUGUAAUAUAAACUCCUAUUAUUUACAUAGAAUGAACACUAGGAGAACUAUUAGUCAGAGGAGAGGAGUAGCUGCGGGGAAAAAUAAGGUUCCACCCCAGGCUCGAGCUGAAGGAGUGGCUAUGCCGGUUAACCCUGCUAGGUUUACUGAUGAGGAGGUGUGUGCAUUUCUGGACCAGAUGGCACAGGACAUUACUAUGCAGGCCCAGGCCAUGACUGCCCAGUUCAACCAGUAGAAUGUUGAGAGGAAGAACCCACCAGUGCGCAGCAUGGCUAACAGGCUGAGAGACUUCACGAGGAUGAACCCUCCUAUUUUUACAGGGUCUAAGACUUCAGAGGAUCCCCAGGAGUUUGGAGAUGAGGUGCAUAAGAUAUUUGUGGCUAUGGGGGCCACAUAUACUGAGAAAGCAGAUUUGGCUUCCUAUCAACUCAAGGGUGUUGCAAAGACUUGGUGCAAGAUGUAGCAUGAUAGCCAAGCUUUUGUCGGAGUUCCGGUCACUUGAGAGCUAUUUAAGAAAGACUUCCUGGAGAGCUUUUUCUCUAGCUUUCCCUAUGAAGGUACUUUUGGUCAGUUGAUUAACUGUGAAAAAAGUCACCUCACGAUUCAUCAAAUUGUGUUUGACACCACAAAGAAAGAAUUAAAAGGAUCACAAGGUUUAAACAAAGGCAAGGGAUUACCGAUUGCCUGGGAUUUCCAUUCUUUGUGGGUAUUUCUGGAGAUAUUUUUCCCUAGAUUUCCCUAUGAAGAUACUUCUGGUCAGUUGAUUAACAGUGAAAAAAGUCACUUAAUGAUUCAUCAAAAUGUGUUUGACACCACAAAAAAGAAAAUUUAAAGGAUCACUGGGUUUAAACAAAGGCAAGGGUUUACGAAUUGCCUGAAAUGUCCACUCUUUCUGGGUAGGCCCAUGAUUUUCUAUUUUUAUGACCUUAUUUAUAAAGUUAUUUGCAAGAUUACACAGUCGUAAACAAAGCAAUUAAACUAUGGUGGAAGAGAUGUGUUGAUUAAACAUGUUAUUCAAGCCUUACCUAUUCAUUUAAUCUCAGUUUUAACCCCCCUACUACUGUAAUUAAGAAAAUACAAAUGUUGAUGGUAGAAUUCUUUUGCGGCUGGAAGAGUGACAAAAAGAAAAAUCACUGGGCUUCCUGGAGGAACCUUAGCUAUCCUAUUGAUGAAGGAGGGGUGAGAAUGAAAAAUCUUAAAGAUGUAUUCUUCGAUUUCCAAUAUAAACAGUGGUCAAACUUUAGAGUUAAACACACAUUGUGGUGAGAAUUCGACAAUGCAAAAUACUGCCAAAUAUCAAAUCCUAACUGAAAAAAUGGGAAUUUAGGGAUUCACUGAUUUUUAAAAUAUAUGAUUAAGAAUAGGAGUAAGGUGGAGCAACAUAUUCAUUGGAUGUUGAACUCGGAGAAUUGUUCCUUUUGGUGGGACAACUGGAUUAGAGAAGGUCAUAUUGCUCAAUGUUCUAACUCUAGCCACAGGUUUGACACGAGGAAAGUAGCUAACUUUUGGGUAGAAGGUCAGUGGAACUAUCAAAUGCUUGUUCAACAGGCACCCCCUAUCCAACUUGCCAAUAUCUUAGCAGUUUCAAUUCCUCAGCAUCAAUCUCCUGACCAAACAUAUUUGAAAAUAAAUCCCAAUGGAAUAUUCACAUGUUCUUUAGCAUGGAAUGAAAUCAGGGAGAAAAGACCCAAGGAUCAAUUUAGGGCUCUUAUUUCGAUGAGCCAUACACCUUUUAAAGCCUCUUUCCUUCUUUGAAGAGCUUUAAAUGUAAAGCCUCCUACUAAUGAGAGAUUAACUAAAUUUGGUGUAGAACCUUGUAACUAUUUUUGUUGCAAGAGCAGGACAGGAGUAGAUACAAUUAACCAUAUCUUUAACAAUGGAUAUCUUCCUAGAGAUGGUUUGCAAAAAGAGUAGGGGUAGAAAUUGAUUAGAACUCACUGAGGCAAAUUGUAUCUCAAUGGUGGUCAAUGAAUAACAACAAUGAAGCUCAUAAACGCAUCGUCCAGGCCUCCCAAUGCUUAUGUGCUUUUAUUUAUAAAACAUAGACGUACUUAUAAAUAUGGAGGCAAAACCCCUAGUGGCACAAGGGUCAGGUAUGCAAUUUAUAGUGCUAAUUAUAAGCUUAUAAAAUCUAUUUUUCCUCAGGUUAGCUGGCCACCUACUUGGAGUGAAAUAAUCUAAUUAGAUAAAACAUGUAUCCAUGUGACAAAGGUACAGAAGAUAGCUUAAACAAGACCACCGGAUGAAUGGAUAAAAUUUAAUACAGAUGGAAGUGUGAUUGAGAAUCCAAGCAAGAUAAGGGCAGGAAGUAUAAAAAGAGUACAUGAAGGCAAGCUCAUAUAAGCAUUUACCUCACCCCUAUGAAGUGGUACCAACAAUCAAGCAGAAAUAGGAGUAGAUAUCUUUGGUAUCUAUUGGGCUUUGGAACUUGCAUACGGGAAGAUCAUAUUGGAAAUGGAUUCAAUGCUAGCACUCAACUAGAUACUCCAAAAAAUAAUCCUCAGUGGAGCAUUUGCAAUCAACUAGACAAAUUGAAAGGCCUCAUAUCUCAACUACAUGAAUUCAAAUGUACUAAUGUUUACAGGGAAGCUAAUUGGGUGGCUUAUGCAUUGUCCAAUCAUAGACACAAAAUUUCUUGUCCAAAAAUUUACUAUAAUAAUCAAGAGUUACCUAAGGAGGCAAAGGAAUAUUUUCAUUGGACUUAAUAGAGAUGCCAAGCUUUAGAAGGAAGAAAACAAAGAAGAUCAAAAAACCUCCUUAAACAUUCUACGAACUUUUCUAGUAAGCUAUAACUCACAAUAUAGAUUCUUUGAAUAGUUUAAGAUGAUAGAUUGAUUAAUUUUUGAGAUGUAAAGGGAGAGUCUCCCUAAUUUAUGUUUCCUAGAUUCUAUGUAUUGAGAGGAGUCCUCUCUUGUAGGUAUAUAGGAGCUUUGGAUUCAUCUUAUUGUAAGGUGAGGGUUAAAUAUCUUUAGGAAAUUGAACCCAAAAAACCAUGGGAAUAGAACUAAGGUUUAUUUCCCCCUCUUUGUACAUUUUUUUUUUGAAAUGGUAAGGCCUGGGGUGUUACUUAGCCCCUACCCAUCUAAGGGUAUUAAAAUAAUAAAAAAAGGCCAAAAUACCAAAAUCCAAACAUGAAACACUAGACCAUAAAUGCUAAACCCCAUGCCAAAAAUUCAAAAAUCCAAAAAUAAAACUCUAAAUUAAAUAUAUAAAUCACAAAUCCUAAGCACCACACCCUAAAAUCUAAAAAAAAAUUCUAACCCUACCCCUAAUCGUAAACCCUAAACUCUAAACCCCAAGACCAAAAUACAAAAACACAAACAUAAAAUUGAAAACACUUGAUAUUUAACCUCAAAUCCUAAACUCCAAACACUAUAACCUAUAAAAAAAUUCCUAAUAUCUUACCCUAACCCUAACUGUAAGCUUAACCCUAACCUUAUCCUUAAACCCCAUACCGUUAACCCUAAACCCAAGCCAAAAAUACAAAAAUCAAAUGUUGAAUACUAAACCAUAGAUAUUAAACCUCAAAUUCUAAACCUAAAACCUAAAAAAAUACUAUAGACGAAACCCUAACCAUAACUCUAACAACAAAACCGAAAACCCAAUCUCAAAAUAUCAUAACCCAAAUAUUAAGAACUAAACCAUAGAUUUUAAACCUCAAUUCCUAAAACAAAACACAAACACUAACAUGAAACCCUAACCCUAACUCUUACCCUAACAAUAAACCCUAAACCCUAGACCCAAAUCCCAAAAUAAAAAAAUCAUAGAAUGAAACACUAGAACAUUUAUAUUAAAACUCAAAUCAUUCACCCUAAACACUAAACUCUAAAAGAAUACUACACCCUAACCUUAAUAUUAACCCAAAACUUGCCCCUAAACCCUAAACCCCAAUCCAAAAAUACCAAUACUCAAAGAUUAAACACUAAACCAUCGAUAUUUAACCUAGUCCUAAACCCCAAACUCUAAAACCUAAACAAAAAACUAAACCCUAAGUUUAAACCUAAUUUCUAAAUCGAAAUCUAAAAUUAUCAAAACCCAAAAAUUAAACACUAAAUCAUAGAUAGUAAACCUUAUAUCCUAAACCCGAAACCCCAAAACCUACAAAAUCCUAAACCUCUCCUAAAUCCUAAACCCUAAACCCCAAACCCAAAAUAUGAAAACCCAAAUUUGAAACACUAAAAUAGAGAUUAACCCACAAAUUCUAAGCCACAAUCCCUAUAAUAUAAAAAAACUAACUCUAACCCUUACCCUGAUCCUAAACCCUAAGACCUAAAUAAAAAAACACAAACAUUAAGCACUAAACCAUAUAUAUUGAACCUAAAAUCAUAAACCCCAAACACUAAAACCUAUAAAUGAAUCCUAAUAUCUAACCCUAAACGUACCUUUAACUCUAACCAUUAUCCUUAUCCUAAUCCUAAACCAUAUACCCUGAACCCUGAACCUUAAACCCCAGCCCAAAAUAAAAAAAAACAAACAUUAAUCAUUAAGCCAUCCUAAAUCCAAAACCCUAAAACCUAAAAUUAAUAAACACUAAAACCAAACCAUAAACCCUAAAACCUAAAAGCUAAUCCAAAAGAAUUAAAACCCAAAGAUUGAACACUAAAUCAUAGAUUUUAAAGAUUAUAUCCUAAACCCCAAACCCUAAAACCUUAAAAAAAUAAACCUUUAUCCUAACCCUAACCCUUAACCUAAUUCUAACUUUAACCCUAACCCUAACCCUAAACCCUACACCCUAAGCCCAAAAUACUUAAACCCAAAUAUUAAACUCUAAACUAAAGAUUUUAAACCUCAAGUCCUACACCCAAACACUAAAACCUUAAAAAACAUUAAACCAUAUCUUUUAACUAAACCUUAACUCUAACCCUAACCCCAAAUCGUAAACCCUAUAUCCAAAAUAAAAAAUACAAAAAUCCAAACAUUAAAUACUAAACAAUAGAUUUACAACUUAAAUCAUAAAACCCCAACCCUACAACCUAAAAACCCUAAACAUAACCUUAACCCUAACCCUAACCCUAACCCUUAACGAUAAAUGCAAAACCCACAGCCGAAAAUGCCAAAACCUAAACAUGGAACACUAAAAGAUAUUAAUCCACAAAUCAUAAACCCCAAAGCCUAAAUUCUAUAUAAACUAAACUCUAACCCUAACCCUAACCCAAAACCCUAAAUCAUAAACACUAAACCCCCAGAUUAAAAUGCCAAAACAUAAAUAUUAAACACUAAACCAUAGAUAUUGAACCUCAAAUCCUAAAUAUCAUACACUAAAACCAAUAAAAACUCCUUAAAUCUAACGCUAACACAAUCACAACCCUAAGCAUAUCCUUAACCCUAAACCCCAAGUCAAAAUACAAAAAACAAACAUUAAACACUAAACCAUAGAUGUUAAACCUCAAACACUAAACUCCAAACAAUAAAGCCUAAAAAACACUUAACACAAAACCCUAACCACUAAUCCUAAAUACAAAGUCCCAAUCUCAAAAUACCAUAACCCAAACAUUAAGCACUAUACCAUAGAUAUUAAACCUCACAUUAUAUAACAAAGAAAAUACUAAACACGAAACCGUAACCUUAACCCCAACCCUAACCCUGACCCUGACCCUAAAUCCUAAACUCUAAACCCUAAACCCUUAACCCAAAGCCCAAAAUACCAAAACCAGAACAUUAAAAGCUAAAUUACAGAUAUUAUAACUCCAAUCCUUAACCCUAAACCCUAAAAUAAACACAAACCCUAAUUCUAACAUUUACGUUAACCCGAAACCUAACCCUAACACUAACCCUAACCCUAACAUUAAUCCUAACCCAAACCAUAAACCAUACACCCUAAAUCCCAAGCCUAGAAUUCCAAACCUCAAGCAUUAAACCCUAAACAAUAGAUAUUAAACCUCAAAUCCUAAACCUCUAACCCUCAAAUCUAAAAAAAAA